rnacentral:lncRNA from 1 species
AAAGGCUGCAGUUUUAGGAGAGGGUGAGCUCUCCAAGGAACAUUUUCUUGAGAUUCUCUGAGUCCUUUGUUUGUUUAACUACCAUUUUAAAUCAACACACUCUCGUGAUGGGAAGGAGACCCCUUGAAAAGAGGAGGCUGGACCCUAGCAGGCAGCACAAACUUCCUCAGAUGCACGUGCAGCUGAAAAUGUUCUCUAGCUGGAAACUGAAGGAGAAACGAGAAGCUUUUGUUCAAGAGAGGUUCUGUGAUCGGCACAGCAUGUUGUUUUGCAAGAACAAUCCUGGAAGACGGGAAGGCGCGUGUUCCUUCGAGGAGCAGGCUGAUUGGUCCAGGCAGUUCUAUUAAUAUAAACGGCAACCGCCCACAGCACGCUACUCCAGAGACAGUUUAUAAUCACACAGGGAACAAGCUGCAGGAUUCCAGCUGUCAAUGCUGCUGAGACGUAGCAGCAGCAGACCUUGCAAAGAUACUCGAGCCACGACAUGAAGUCAGGAUUUUUAUAACCCGGGAUCUCUGGGCUCCCUGCCCCCUCAGCGGAUGCCAACAUCUGAGGGGGACGCUCGCCUCUAUUCCCACUAUGCCACCUACUCCCACCACAUUCCUGCCUUCUCUGAAGAGAGGGAUGAGGCCAAUUUUAACCUGUAAUCUGAAGCCCUGUUUAGGGCAGUCCCGAGGUGGCACAGCUAAAGGACACUUUCAGGCUUCAGGGGAACAAGGCAAAUGAGAAGGUGACAGCUCGUCUCUGCAACAAAUAUCCAGAGUUUACAACGUGUGCUCAGUCGCUCAGUCGUAUCUGACUCUUUGCGAUCCAACGGACUGUAGCCCACCAGACUCCUCUGUCCGUGGGAUUCUCCAGGCCAGAAUACUGGAGUGGGUUGCCGUUUCCUCCUCCAGGGGAUCUUCCUGACCCAGGGAUGGAACCCUGCCUCCUGUGUCUCCUGCAUUGGCAGGCAAAUUCUUUACUGAUAGCGCCACCUGGGAAUAGGGGCAGAUCACCCUUGAUAAAAAUUUCAGUGUUCAUUCGCUUUGCCUAAAUUCAUUUUCUCACUUCAAUUUGUUCCUGUGUCUCUGCUGGAAAAGGAAGUUUGCAAGGUACUGUGACAUGGAAAUACUACAGGCUGGCAGUCAAAGGAAGAGGAUUCUAAUUUUGGUUUUUAUCAUUAACUAGCUGAGUAACUUCAGUAAGUCACUUAACCUCUCUGGUUCUCAUUAAAACCAAAUGAUCUCUUUCAGUAAAAAAAAAAAAAAAAAAAUCCAGUGUUGGACUUUCUCCUAAUUGUAAACAGAUUCCUGUAGGAAAAAGCACAUGCAUUUAACUGAAGACUCUCCAUGGGCUUCCCUCGGUGGCUCAGUGGCAAAGAAUCUGCCUGCCAGUUCGAUCCCUGGCUUGGGAAGAUCUCCUGGAGAAGAAAAUGGCAACCCACUCCGGUAUUCUUGCUGGGAAAUCCCAUGGACAGAGGAGCCUGGCGGGCUACAGUCCCUGGGGGCACAGAGAGUCCAACAGGACUGAGUGACUAAGCAACAAGUGGGCAGUGCAGGGCAUUAUUUUGACACUGGGAAAGGACACCAGUUAGGGACCAGUUCUUCCGAAGAUGUUUCUAAAAGGUCGCUGUGAGUCUGGAAAGGACAAUAAACCACCAGCUUCCCCCUCCUUAUUUUACA